rnacentral:rRNA from 1 species
UACGUAGGGUGCAAGCGUUAAUCGGAAUUACUGGGCGUAAAGCGUGCGCAGGCGGUUUUGUAAGUCUGACGUGAAAUCCCCGGGCUUAACCUGGGAAUUGCGAUGAAGACUGCAAGGCUAGAAUCUGGCAGAGGGGGGUAGAAUUCCACGUGUAGCAGUGAAAUGCGUAGAUAUGUGGAGGAAUACCGAUGGCGAAGGCAGCCCCCUGGGAUAACACUGACGCUCAUGCACGAAAGCGUGGGGAGCAAACAGG